UUAUAUAGUUAAUACCCUGAAUAUACCCAAUCUCAGCAGCUAAGCAUGGCUGUGCUUGAUUAGUACUUGGAAGGAAAGCAGCCUGAGAAUAUCAGGUGCUGUAAGCU
rnacentral:rRNA from 1 species